GUACUUAAGCUCUUCAGUUUGUGUUAAUCCUCACUGGUUCUUCUGUUGAUCUUUGUGACUUACUCCAUACCUUGCGCCGUCUGGCCAGCUGUUUCUACCUGCUAUUUUCACUUCAAAUGCUAUCCGUGGACGGGCGGCUCAUUGUCAGGAGAGCUGCGGAGCGAGCGAGAGGAAGAGAACUCAGGCUCAGGUACAACAGCAACAAGAGCAGCAGCGGCAGCACUUCAGCCAAAAGCAUCACAGAGAGAGGGGGAGAAAAACGCUGGUAAGUUGCACGCAGGCUUCCCUGCAGCCUGACAGGACACACUGGCAUGGCACAGACUGGCACAUGAGGAGGGGCUUCACUUUUAAUGGAUUGUUUGGGAUGAGUGUGGCAAACAGGCAGGGGUCUGUGCUCACAGCGACUCAAGCAGCAGGAGGAGUGAGGAGGACAGAGUCCAGGAGAGAGAAUUCAACUUCAGAGACAGAAAACAAUGAAAACUUUGAUUUUCGUUUCCGGCAGCUCGAAAACCUGAAAAGUGACAGAAUAAUAUGUUUGAUAAAACUUGCACCCUGCAUUAGGAAUAUUAUUUUUUAACACAUCUGCACUUUUUUUGUUUUGUUGAAUUGCAAUUUCUCUGUGUCCCCGCAUCAGGAAUAUUCAAAUUGUUACAAAGGUCUGCAGAGAGGAGAAAUCAUUUCAGAAUUACAAAAUGUAUUCUAAACUCUGCUGCUGUUGACCAAACACUGAAUAACAAUUGUAGAUUAUAAAUGCUGAACUGUUUAUCUAAUAUCUCAUAAAGGUCACAUUCUACCACUGUAAACGGCUCACCUUUAACUAUUAUGUUAGAAUAAUAGUUAGUUUCCAGCUUAUUCUCACGAAUAAGUUGGAAGUGAUUACCAGGAAUAGAAGGAUGAUGUUAUGAACGACAUUGUUUAGAACUGUUUUGAAUGCCAUGCAGAAGUGAGAUGGUUCCCCUUUUUAGUUAUCGUUUUCGUCCAUCGUCUACAAAAUCACACUAAGAGACGGCCGUGAAGAUGCCAUCUACAUCACUGUUGUGUUAUUGUUAGUUACUUGAGUCAGAAAGCCAAUUUUAACAUGGUGAGAAGUUAGAAAAGUGGACAGUUCUUCUGCGAGUGCAAAAAUAAAGCGAAGAGAUGAACAGAGCACAGAGAAAAGAGAUGGAGAAGCGAAAAGGCUGCAGGAGGUAGAGGUGAACAUUUCUCAGAGAACUUCCCGAUUUCAGACGAGGAGGAGACCUGUGAGAAAGAAAGAAGUGAAAGGUUUCAGGUUGAACACCGAAAGAUGUGGGUGUCGGCGCCGCUCCGUACCCUUUUCAAUCUUUACUUUAUAAAAAUGCUUCAGAGGAACUGCUCCCCAUCUUCAACUGAAACCAGAAGCAUGGUCAGAAGAUGAGCUUUUAUAAACUGUUCCUCUUAAUGAUGCGUCUGGGGGUAAAAAUAAGCAUUGAUCGAAAGUAGAUCUGCUCAAUAACUGUACUUUAUAUAUUUUAAAACUAUUAGCUGCUCUUUUUUUGAUGCCAAUUCUGCAGAUCCGUCUCCGAUUUGGAUCUAUUACAUGUCACACCUCUGAUUCACUUUACUUGUUUAAAUAUCAUUCAAAAUAUAAACUUUAAAAAGUCA